GGGGGGGGGGGGGGGGGGGCGUGGGGGGGGGGGGGCGGGGGGGGAGGGGGUGGUGGGGUGGGGUGCUGGGGUGGCGAGCGGGGGGGUAACACGUGGGUAAGCUGCCGUUGAGUUUGGGAUAGCUUCAGGGGGCUGGGGCUAGUGCAGGGUGGGGGGUCCUGCUGGCUGGUGGGGGUUGGGAAGUUUGGGCGGUUGUGGAUGGGCUCGCGGCUUAUCAGCUUGUUGGUGGGGUAGUGGCUUACCAAUGCCUUGACGGGUAGCCGGCCUUGCAGGGUGACCGGCCACAUUGGUACUGAGAUACGGCCCAGACUCCUACGGGAGGCAGCAGUGGGGAAUAAUGCACAAUGGGCGGAAGCCGCAUGCAGCAACGCCGCGUGCGGGAUGACGGCCUUCGGGUUGUAAACCGCUUCCGCCUGUGACGAAGCGUGAGUGACGGUAAUGGGUAAAGAAGCACCGGCUAACUACGUG
rnacentral:rRNA from 1 species